rnacentral:rRNA from 1 species
AUUGAACGCUGGCGGCAGGCUUAACACAUGCAAGUCGAGCGGUUUUCUUUUUCUGGCACUAUCACUUAUCUUCGGUCUUGGUAGUAAUGCUAGGAAUCUGCCUAUUAGUGGGGGACAACAUUGCGAAAGGGAUGCUAAUACCGCAUACUUGCUACGGGAGAAAGCAGGGGAUCACUUGUGACCUUGCGCUAAUAGAUGAGCCUAAGUCGGAUUAGCUAGUUGGUGGGGUAAAGGCCUACCAAGGCGACGAUCUGUAGCGGGACUGAGAGGACGAUCCGCCACACUGGGACUGGGACACGGCCCAGACUCCUACGGGAGGCAGCAGUGGGGAAUAUUGGACAAUGGGGGGAACCCUGAUCCAGCCAUGCCGCGUGUGUGAAGAAGGCCUUAUGGUUGUAAAGCACUUUAAGCGAGGAGGAGGCUCUUUUGGUUAAUACCCAGAAUGAGUGGACGUUACUCGCAGAAUAAGCACCGGCUAACUCUGUGCCAGCCGCCGCCGUAA